rnacentral:lncRNA from 1 species
GGCCUGUCCUGGGGACCUGGCGAGGCCCGGCCUCUGCCAGCCAAGCCUGCUGGGGACGACCGAGGUAGCCCGGGCUCGGCUUAGGAAGGCAGCGGGACUCGAGGCCUUGGGGUCCGAGUCCGAACUCGCUCCUCUAGCGCCGGGCGGGGAGCGAGUGGGAGAGCGGCCGCGAAGCUCCAGUGUUGAAAACGCACCCCUCCCAGCUUUUUGCAAGGCCUACUUGGGGGCGGAGAGACAAGCAAGCUGUCAUGUUAUAAGCAGCCCUUUGAGGGGUCCAUGUGAUGUCAAGGAAUGAAGUCUCUAGCCAACAUUUAAUGAGGAACUGAGGCCCACCAACAACCUUGAGUGAGCUUGGAAGUAGCUCCUUCAGCAUCAGUUGGGUGUCGAGAUGACUACUGACAGCUUGACUGCAACUUCAUGAGAGUCUUCUGGACCAGAACCACUCAGUUAAGUGGCUCCCAGAUUCCUGAUCCUCAGAAACUCUGAGAAAUAAUGAAUGUUGGUUGUUUUAAAAUGGUAAAUUUUGAGGUAUUAUGUUAUGUGGCAAUAGAUAGCUAAUAUAUAAAUUAUUUGAAUCAAACAAUACGUUAAAUUAAAGCUCAGAAGAAUAAACAUCUGUAAUUCCUUAAUUUGUUUUCCCUUCUAUUCUACAGAAUAGAAUUUUACAGAUGAACCUUGUAGUUACUUGUGCAAUAAGAGACAGUAUGUUGUAUUGAUUAAGUGCAGAGCCUCUGGAUGUAUGAUAGAAGAAAGACCAAUAUUCAAUUGCUUUCUUCUUCAAUUCCAAGCUUGUGAGCUUGAGCAAAUUUUAAAAGUGUUUUAAGCCUCAGUUUCCUGGGAUGGUAGUGCUUAGCUCGAGCUCCUAGCAUAUAUUAACUACAAACUAAAUAUUAGCUAUAAUUAUUAGUUUUACUUUGAUUAUUGACUCUAAAUAAAUACCUUAAGAACUUUGUGUUCUCCACAGAUUUGGAUAUGUCUGGACGUUAUGUAGGCUGGAGUAGUCAGCAAUUACUUGCCUGAGGAAGGGAAGGCCUCCUCCUUUAAGAAAAGAAUAGGCUGAUUACAGGUAUGAGCCACCACGCCUGGCCAAUUGCAUGCUUUUUACAAGGAGUUUUGGUUCUCCUGCCCAGCCCACUGCCACUGGACUGCCCUGUAUUGUAAGUCCCCUCAAUAAACCUUAUGUCUCAGUUUCUGGUUCUAGGUCUCUUCUUCAGCCUCUUGAACAUGGUGCCAUCCCUACUGAAGUCAAUGGGGUCUGACAUGACUAGGGGAACUUGAACAAAAUCUGAAAUAGCUGUUUUUUUCUUGCCAAAAUCACUGUAAGACAUUAUUUGCCUCAGCCCCAGAACAUUGAAUUAUAUGACCCAAGAGUGGAGAAACAGAGAAGUCUGUCUGUGUCAUCAGACAAUAUCCCAAGUGGGAUGUCAUCACCCCAAUGCAUAUUGGCAUUUGGGCAGAGUAGAGCAGCGUCAGCCUAGCAAGACUUGGCACAAUUCUGUUGGAUUGCACAAUAGAAUGAGAAAUCACAUUUCUGCUGUUAUGUGAUUCUGCAUUUUAACUCCAGUUUGUUUGGCCUGGACAGACAGGUAACUAGCCAUGAAGACAAUGGACCUUGAAACAUUCUGAAGACUAGAAAAAGUAUGUAAUAAAAUACUUUGAACAACUGUUUAAGGACUUAAAUGUCCAGACUGUUUCUUUAGAUGAGUGUAAUUUCCAAUGUGAAACCCCACAAUUCGGCUUCAAGAGGUACAGGACAGUUUUUGAAUUCCACAGAAAAAA